GGGAAGACCCUGGAGAAAGGAAAGGCUACCCACUCCAGUAUUCUGGCCUAGAGAAUUCCAUGGACUGUAUAGUCCAUGGGGUUGUAAAGAGUCAGAAAGUGAGCAACUUUCACUUUAUAAUUUUAUACUCAGGACUGUGCUGGGCAGCAAAGGCAGUAAAUGAGGAAUUUCCCAUUGGUUGAAGACACAACUCUCAAAAGCAUGAACUAGUCUAGUAAUAGUGGCUGCUUAGGAGCCGAUGUAAGUGGUGAAAACAAGAUCAGAGGAAGGCCUGGAAGCAUCAUAAAGAUUUCAGAGGGGAGGUGGGAGUCCAACAGAACCUUUAAAGAUCACAGGAUUUGAAGACGAGAAAGAGGAAGAGCAUUAGAGGAAACGGGAAGCCGCUGGAUAAUAGUAUAUGGCACUAACAAGAUGAAAACAGAAUUGUAGGAAGACCCAUCUGAUAACAGGAGCCAAGACCUAAGUGGCUCAGUGGUAAAGAAUCCACCUGUCAAUGCAGGAGACAGGGGCUCGAGCCCUGAACC